rnacentral:lncRNA from 1 species
CAGCGUUGUCCACGUGGUUCUGGCUCUAGAGUCGUGAAAUACAGGAGUAAAGGAGCUGUGGAAUCUCUACCGGAGGUUAAGAAGAGCCACCAAAGCCAGGUGUGUAGCAGACGAAUCCCCGCACGGAGGCCCCGGGAAGCCUUUGAGUGAGGCUUUGAGAGUGAAGCCUGUAGGCUUUGGAGACCCUAAGAUGUUAGACCUAUCAGAGCUGUGGAUAGAGCUGCAUACAGGCUUUACUAGCCCGAGAUGGAGAUCUGUCUUGCAGGCAGCAGGCUGGAAGGGGGCAGCCCUCUAAGCCCUUGGACGUCACACAGGACUUGGAGUUAGCUCCUGUGCUGUGGUCUUGCUUUGGUCCACAAAGCCUCUGCUUUCUUCACUAUGCCCCAGUUCCUCCCUUUGGAGUAGUAAUGUAUAUUCUGUGCCGUUGUAAGUUGGAAGCAAGUAGCUCACCUUUGGAAUAUCUGGGGGUUGCGAUUAAGAGAUGGCCUUGGGAUUCAGAAGAGACUUGGGCUUUUAAACAGUUAAGACUGUAAGAGACUGUGUGGACACUUUUGAAGUUGGACUAAAUGCAUUUUGCAUUAUGAGAUGUGCCUAGCCUAUGGGGGCCAGGAAGUGGAAUGUGGUGGUUUGGAUGAGAGUGGCUCCCUUUGACCCAACCUCUGAGGGUCAGCAAGCUGCAGUGGCUAUGGCCUUUAUAGGGCAGUCAGCAUCAGAUAUUAAGAAAAAGUUACAGCGGCUAGAAGGGUUGCAGGAUUAUACCUUGCAGGAUGUGGUUAAGGAGGCAGAGAAAGUGUUUCAUAAGCGGAAGACUGAGGGAGAGAAGUGAGAAAAAGAGAAAUAAGAGGCAAAAGAAAGAGAAGACAGGAGGGAUCAUAGACAAAAGAGAAAUUUGACUAGAAAUUUGGCUGCAGUGGUAGGAGGAAAAAAAAAAGACAGGACCUAGACAGAUAGGGAACUUGGGCAACAGAAAACCAAGGAUGAGUAAUGAUGGACAGAGGCGCCCCUUGGAUAAAGACCAAUGUGCUUGUUGCAAAGAAAAAGGCUCAGCCGCGUCAGACUGAAGUUACUUAUUUGGGAUACACCCUUCAAGACGGGAAGCGGUGGCUAACGGAAGUCAGAAAAAAGACUGUAACUCAGAUCCCCACCCCAACUACACCAAGAGCCUUUUGUUGACUGAACGAGUGACCUUCGCUCCCCCUGCUGUCCUCAAGCCCGCUACCCUACUGCCUGAGACGGAUGACUCUUCACCUACUCAUCACUGCGCUGACAUUCUGGCAGAAGAAACUGGUACUUAAAUGAUCUGAAGGAUCAGCCUUGGCCUGGGCGUCGGAGCUGGUCCACGGAUGGCAGUAGCUUCGUGGUUGAAGGUUAGCGGAAGGCGGGGGCAGCAGUGGUGGACGGGAAGCAAGUGAUCUGGGCCAGCAGCCUCCCUGAAGGGACGUCGGCCCAGAAAGCCGAACUUGUGGCUUUGAUACAAGCUCUACGAAAGGCAGAGGGGAAGUCUAUCAACAUCUACACUGACAGCAGGCCCUUGAGGUAGUGAUACGCCAAGCCUGGGAACAACUGAAAGAGGCCUAUGAGACUGGGAGUCUGGACUUGUCCCACCAGUUCCAGGUCAGAGACGCCAUCCUAGUCCGAUGCCAUUGAGUGGGAAAUCUGGAACCUCACUGGAAAGGACCAUACUUGGUACUCUUGACAACCCCUACGGCGGUGAAGGUUGAAGGUAUUUCUGCUUGGAUCCAUGCCUCCCACAUGAAGCAGGCCCCAGAGCCAUCUAAAGAUGAGUUUGACAAGUGCCCAACCCAUUUUCGGAGAGAGCCUGUCUCUUUGACACUAGCAGUAAUCCUGGGUCUCGGGGUAGCCGCCGGUGUUGGGACAGGCACCGCUGCCCUAAUACAGUACUUUAAUGAAUUAAGAAUUGCCAUGGAUGAAGAUUUGAGGGCCCUGGGACAAUCUAUUUCCAAGCUUGAAGAGUCUUUGACUUCCUUCUCAGAAGUAGUCUUACAGAAUAGAAGGGGAUUCGAUUUGUUAUUCUUAAAAGAGGGAGGAUUAUGCGCUGCUCUCAGAGAAGAGUGUUGUUUUUAUGAAGACCAUUCAGGAGUAAUUAAAGACUCCAUGAGUAAACUUAAAGAGAGAUUAGACAAAAGACAGAGACAGAGACAGAGAGAGAGAGAGAUGCAUCAGGGAUAGUUUGAAAAUUGGUUUAGUAGAUGUCCUUGGAUGACUACUUUGAUAUCUACCCUUAUGGGACCCCUUUUGAUUUUGCUUCUGCUUUUAAUUAUAGGUCCAUGUAUAUUAAAUAAGUUAGUUACCUUUAUUAGAGAAAGAGUGAGUGCUGUUCAGAUUUUGAUGUUACGUCAUGCUUUAGAAAGUCAAGAAAAGCUGAGCAGUGGUGACGCAUGCCUUAGAUCCCAGCACUUGGGAGGCAGAGGCAGGCGGAUUUCUGAGUUUGAGGUCAGCCUGGUCUACAGAGUGAGUUCCAGGUCAGCCAGGGCUACACAGAGAAACCUUGUCUCGAAAAAAAAAAAGGUCAAGAAAAUCAAUAUUAUGAAGGUACUGAAAUUUAGUUCUAUGAUUAGAACUAGCCACUAGAAAAAGUGGGAAAUGUAAGGUAGAAGAUUUAAGUUUGACCCCCUAGUCCAGUUGGAGCCAAGAAAAAUAGUUGGGCCCCGAAGCAGCCUGUUCCAGAAACUUGGCUGGCCACACCCUGUUCCAGGAGCUUGGCUGAGCACAAAAGUUAGAUUAAAAUCUUGAGAACAAUCUUGGGUUGUGGCUUUUUCCUUUAAAUACCCCCUUUCCCAACUACUCGGGGCCGAACUCCUCUACCCGUGUGUGGGAUACAAGUCGGCCCCAGCAUGCUGGUUCCUAUCAAUAAACCGCAUGUAAUUGUAG